AUGGACAGAUUCAGAGAGGCGUUGGUUUGUUGUGAUCUCUAUGAUGUCGGUUAUGUGGGAGAUAAAUUUACGUGGAGGAAUCAUAGUAAGGAUCUGAAUUCUUAUAUUUGCGAGAGGUUGGACCAUGCAGCAGCAAACACAGAAUGGUGUGAAACUUUCCCGGAGUUCUCUGUAGUUAAUGGCAACCCACGUCACUCCGAUCAUCGCCCAGUUAUUGUAUGCACAGAAGGACAAAAGAGAAGUGGCAGAAGGGGGGACCACGGGUUCCGGUUUGAAGCCUGGUGGUUGCAAGAGGCUGGAUGCAGCGAAGAGAUACAAGGAGCAUGGGAGGAAGGCUGGAUGAAGGGUGAUGGAGGGGUGGCAGGGGUUAUGGGUACUGUGGCGGGCCGUAUGAUGAAGUGGCAAAAGGAGGUGGUAGGGGAAUUGGAGGGACGACUGAAGAAGGCAAGGGCGGAUCUAGAGAGGUGUAUGAGAGAGCCUGUCUCCGAGCAGAAGGUUAGAGAAGAGGCUGAGCUGAGGUGUGUGUGGUAA
rnacentral:rRNA from 1 species